rfam:Schistosoma curassoni strain Dakar, Senegal genome assembly, scaffold: SCTD_scaffold0010104
GCACUGCUGAGGAGCCCGACAAUGGGGCGAAACGGUCGUCCAGUGC